rnacentral:rRNA from 1 species
GGUGAGUAACACGUGACUAACCUACCUCCGAGUGGGGAAUAACUCCGGGAAACCGGGGCUAAUACCGCAUAACAUCGCAAGAUCAAAGCAGCAAUGCGCUUGGAGAGGGGGUCGCGGCUGAUUAGCUAGUUGGCGGGGUAACGGCCCACCAAGGCGAAGAUCGGUAUCCGGCCUGAGAGGGCGCACGGACACACUGGAACUGAAACACGGUCCAGACUCCUACGGGAGGCAGCAGUGGGGAAUUUUGCGCAAUGGGGGAAACCCUGACGCAGCAACGCCGCGUGGAGGAUGAAGCCCUUUGGGGCGUAAACUCCUUUCGACUCGGACGAUAAUGACGGUACGAGUGGAAGAAGCACCGGCUAACUCUGUGCCAGCAGCCGCGGUAAUACAGAGGGUGCAAGCGUUGUUCGGAAUUAUUGGGCGUAAAGGGCGCGUACGCGGUGCGGUAAGUCACCUGUGAA